rnacentral:lncRNA from 1 species
UUGCAUUCAGUGGAAGCCAAAUGAGCAAAUAUAAUUAAAAUUCCAUCAUGAAACUUACACAACAUGAUACCUAUCCAGAUUGAAGAUUCGACAUUUAAUGCAACUAAGAAUCUGAAAUUCUUUUAGCGUAAAAAGAAGGUGACAUGAAAAUAUAGCAUAGGUUCCAAUCAAAAAAAAAAUAUAUAUAGCAUAGGCAGCCAGAAGCUUAGGAAAGAAAGAAACCUUUGAGUUCCUUUGCUGUCUAGAGUCAAUGAAAUGUGUUGGGCAUAUUGUGCAGUAAGGAUCAUUACAU